rnacentral:rRNA from 1 species
UCCGUAGGCGGUGUGGCAAGUCGGAAGUGAAAUCUCUGGGCUUAACUCAGAGGCUGCUUCCGAAACUGCCGUGCUAGAGUGCGAGAGAGGCAAGUGGAAUUGCGGGUGUAGCGGUGAAAUGCGUAGAUAUCCGCAGGAACAUCCGAGGCGAAAGCGGCUUGCUGGAUCGCAACUGACGCUGAGGGACGAAAGCUAGGGGAGCAAACAGGAUUAGAUACCCUGGUAGUCCUAGCCCUAAACCAUCAGGACUUGGGGUUUGCCCUGUACGGGGCAAGUCCCGUAGCUAACGCGUUAAGUCCUGCCGCCUGGGGAGUACGGUCGCAAGGCUGAA